rnacentral:rRNA from 1 species
GACAGAGGAUGCAAGCGUUAUCCGGAAUGAUUGGGCGUAAAGCGUGCGUAGGCGGUUUGUCGCGUCUGCCGUGAAAGUCCGGGGCUCAACUCCGGAUCUGCGGUGGGUACGGGCAGACUAGAGUGAUGUAGGGGAGACUGGAAUUCCUGGUGUAGCGGUGAAAUGCGCAGAUAUCAGGAGGAACACCGAUGGCGAAGGCAGGUCUCUGGGCAUUAACUGACGCUCAUGCACGAAAGCGUGGGGAGCAAACAGG